rnacentral:rRNA from 1 species
UACGGAGGGGGCUAGCGUUGUUCGGAAUUACUGGGCGUAAAGCGCGCGUAGGCGGCUUUGUAAGUUAGAGGUGAAAGCCCGGAGCUUAACUCCGGAACUGCCUUUAAGACUGCAUCGCUAGAAUCGUGGAGAGGUGAGUGGAAUUCCGAGUGUAGAGGUGAAAUUCGUAGAUAUUCGGAAGAACACCAGUGGCGAAGGCGACUCACUGGACACGUAUUGACGCUGAGGUGCGAAAAGCGUGGGGGAGCAAACAGG